rnacentral:piRNA from 1 species
UGGGCUGAACUUGAUUCUAGGAGCUUUCA